rnacentral:rRNA from 1 species
GGUGUUUGGCACCUCGAUGUCGGCUCAUCUCAUCCUGGGGCUGUAGCCGGUCCCAAGGGUAUGGCUGUUCGCCAUUUAAAGAGGUACGUGAGCUGGGUUCAAAACGUCGUGAGACAGUUUGGUCCCUAUCUGCCGUGGGCGCUGGAAAUUUGACGGGGCCUGUUCCUAGUACGAGAGGACCGGAAUGGACGUACCGCUGGUGUACCUGUUGUCUCGCCAGAGGCAUCGCAGGGUAGCUAUGUACGGAAGAGAUAAACGCUGAAAGCAUCUAAGCGUGAAACUCGCCCGAAGAUAAGAUUUCCCUGGGGGCUCGACCCCCCUGAAGAGCCGUUCAAGACCAGGACGUUGAUAGGUCAGGUGUGGAAGCGUGGUAACACGUUAAGCUAACUGAUACUAAUUACUCGUGAGGCUUGAUCCUAUAACUCACAA